GCGUCGGUGGUUCAGUGGUAGAAUACUCGCCUGCCACGCGGGUGGCCCGGGUUCGAUUUCCGGCCGACGCA
rnacentral:tRNA from 2 species